rnacentral:misc_RNA from 1 species
UGAGCACAAAAAGGGAGAAUGAUGUUCAUUAAUCAACAGAGCCAUUUAGAAAAUAUAUUCACACAUUGUUCUAACUCGUCUUUGAUCUCUUCCAUACAAUUACCGUCCCAUAAAAAUCCGACGAAGCCAACAAAUUCUCCCCAUGGUUCCAAGCAACCCCGAUAACUGGAAACCGGUGGCCCUGUAGCUUGUUGACACAAGUAUGUUUAGGUCGUGUCAAAUCAUAGAAG